ACGCGUUGGGAGCUCUCCCAUAUGGUCGACCUGCAGGCGGCCGCGAAUUCACUAGUGAUUAGAGUUUGAUCAUGGCUCAGAUUGAACGCUGGCGGCAGGCCUAACACAUGCAAGUCGAGCGGUAGAGAGAAGCUUGCUUCUCUUGAGAGCGGCGGACGGGUGAGUAAUGCCUAGGAAUCUGCCUGGUAGUGGGGGAUAACGUUCGGAAACGGACGCUAAUACCGCAUACGUCCUACGGGAGAAAGCAGGGGACCUUCGGGCCUUGCGCUAUCAGAUGAGCCUAGGUCGGAUUAGCUAGUUGGUGGGGUAAUGGCUCACCAAGGCGACGAUCUGUAACUGGUCUGAGAGGAUGAUCAGUCACACUGGAACUGAGACACGGUCCAGACUCCUACGGGAGGCAGCAGUGGGGAAUAUUGGACAAUGGGCGAAAGCCUGAUCCAGCCAUGCCGCGUGUGUGAAGAAGGUCUUCGGAUUGAAUCGAAUUCCCGCGGCCGCCAUGGCGGCCGGGAGCAUGCGACGUCGGGCCCA
rnacentral:rRNA from 1 species